CCUACGGGAGGCAGCAGUGAGGAAUAUUGGUCAAUGGGCGGGAGACUGAACCAGCCAAGUAGCGUGAAGGAUGAAGGCCCAAAGGGUUGUAAACUUCUUUUAUAAAGGAAUAAAGUGAGGCACGUGUGCCUUUAUGUAUGUACUUUAUGAAUAAGGAUCGGCUAACUCCGUGCCAGCAGCCGCGGUAAUACGGAGGAUCCGAGCGUUAUCCGGAUUUAUUGGGUUUAAAGGGAGCGUAGAUGGGUUGUUAAGUCAGUUGUGAAAGUUUGCGGCUCAACCGUAAAAUUGCAAUUGAUACUGGCAGCCUUGAGUACAGUUGAGGUAGGCGGAAUUCGUGGUGUAGCGGUGAAAUGCUUAGAUAUCACGAAGAACUCCGAUUGCGAAGGCAGCUUACUAA
rnacentral:rRNA from 1 species